UACGGAGGGGGCGAGCGUUAUUCGGAAUUAUUGGGCGUAAAGGGCGCGUAGGCGGCCCGGCCAGUCAAAGGUGAAAUCCCUCGGCUCAACCGAGGAACUGCCUUUGAAACUGCUGGGCUUGAGUCCGGGAGGGGGUAGCGGAAUUCCCAGUGUAGCGGUGAAAUGCGUAGAUAUUGGGAGGAACACCGGUGGCGAAGGCGGCUACCUGGACCGGCACUGACGCUGAGGCGCGAAAGCGUGGGGAGCAAACAGG
rnacentral:ncRNA from 2 species